CACACCCAUGUGUGACUCCUCUGCUCCGUCCUCUUCCACCACUUGGAGUCCUGCAUUACAGACAGUGGAGCCACAGGGUGGAAAGUGCCCUGAAUACUGCUUGGAGAAGCCCCAGCUGCAGGUUAGAAACAUCCAUUUUGACUCUGCUGAGUGUGUUCUAGGAAGGCCUUUUACUACCUACAACCCGCAAUGUGUGCUGGCUUUCCUUGGUGAACUGGAUGUGUGUACACUCUUCUCUGCAUGUGCUCAAAUGAGUCCUUUUGAGAAUGGUUCCUGGACUCUGCACAAAAAGAGGAACAUGUUCGUCUGGCUUCGAGUGAGCUGGCCAGGAGGUUAAACGCAAGGGAGAAUGCCCUAGCCUUAGCUAUUAAAAAGAGCAUAUGAAAAGAGAGACAGAGGAUGUCUAAGCAACCAUUAAAACCACCAUCCCUCACCAUAUUUCAAAUUCCAGAUUGGUGGUGUUGACAUCUGGGUCCUCAAAAGCACAGGUCAGUG